CUUCAGAAAAGCUUUGCAACAGGUGACAUUGUCCUUGAGCCUGAAAGGCCAUACCAAGCAUUUUUAGAGUGCAAGAGCCAUUUUAAAUCUUCUGUAAGUCAUGUUAUGUACUACCCAUUGUAGUCUAACUAACAUUAGUCUAAUGGGUUAAAAUUCAUUGUUUUUUCCAGAGAGUUUUGCAUAUGUUUCUAACUUUGAUCCAUAGGCUAUUCAAACUAAAACUGCCUUUCCUUUACUUUUUUUUUUUCCUCUGUAUACCACAUACACUGUUCGGAAUGCAGCAGUCAGAGGUGCUUUUUAUAUACUCAGCUCAAAAGCAUUAGCUUAUAAGAAAAGGCAUGCUACAUGUAGUGUAUAGGUUAGUUUAACUGCUUGCUUAACCACAUUGAUUGUGAAAUGCUGAACUCUACCCAGCUCACACAUCAGCAGAAGCUUGCGACUUUUAGAGUUUGGUUUAGGAUUUGUUUUUAUUUGUCUCUGUUGGAAGAAAUAAAACAUAUAACUUGAGCCAAAUUCCAGUGCUUUGCUCUAAGUUUUAAUAGUGCAUGCCAUCUAAAAUGAACCAAAAUGCCAAGCAAUAAAACACUGAAUAUUCCUCAAUGCAUAAUUUUCUUAUUUUGGUAAUCAGGCUCUAGAGUGAUAGUAAUUAAAAUAAUCUAAAACAUAAGCUUUUGAUAGCUAACCCCUUAGGACAGAUCCCUUACCUCUGCAUGAAAAAAAAUGUCUUGUCAUGACUCUUAGCCAUUUCUUAAGCCCUACUUACAACUCCAUGAUUAUCACUAAAGAUUCAGAUUUUAAACUGCAUUAUUCUCCCUAAUCUCCUGUUAAAUGUGACAAAUGCACUUCAUCUAUUUAUAAAGAUGAAUAUGUAUCAAAUAUGAGCAAGUCGUAUUAGGACACAAUUUUUUUGGAUCUGAAUUAGAAGGAUUAGCUAUUAUAUUUAUAAAGCUUCCUGGACUGUUACAGUAAACACUUCUUUGCUUAACAAAUUUAGAUGACAAUUUUCUAAAUAAACCUGCAGGUCAUUCAAUUGUAUUUUUAGAGUGAAUUCCAGAAACAAAUAUAAGGAAUUCUUUCUGGCACAUGAAAUGGUCAUCUUUUUUUAGAAAGAACCACAUACGCAUAUUUCACAUGGACUCUCCGAAGAGGAUUUUGCCUUUGAAAAUAUUAAUUGGAAGAUUUUCUCAAUGCUUUACAUCAGUUUAUGCAAAUAAGGCAAAAGAAGCAGAACCAUUUAUACCAUGAUUCAGCCAGUAGUCUGCUGAAAAUGUAAGAUGACAAGAACAUGCAGUGAUUCACAGUGGCUCCAGGACUUCCUGGGAUUACUGGGAGCUCUGAUUUUUUGAGCAGCAGUAGGUAAAGGCAAUGAAGAGAACUGGUCAGUAAACACAGAAGGAAGAUCUUUGCAGUUCUUCAAUACCUGUCUAGGAAAAGGCCAGAAGAAAUCUAUGUUAGAAAGGCCUAGAGGAAAGCUAUCACAGAUUCUGACUAGGCAAUGAAAGGAUCCAGAAAACCUACUAGUGCAAAUAUUUGCACUAUGGGAAUGUGACCCAGGCUUAAGUCCAGGAAAAACUUUAGACCCAGCUUUGGUUGUAGCUAAUGCGAGAACUGGAAAGAGCUAAGACCACAGAAAUCUUCCAAGAAACAGAGAAAGAAGAUGCAAGAAAAAAGCAGCUACAUUUCCUCAAGACUUUCCUCAUGACUUCAAGAAAUUCAGUGGCUGCUACUAUUGCUAGCUGGCUCAAUCUUCUCAAUUUUGUAAUAUAUCUGCUUCAGUGACAGAUGAGGGAGUAGUGCUUUUGCUCUCAAAUGUUUCCCUAUGACCCUCAGUCUAGGACUCUUUCUAAGACCUGACAGAAAGUUAAAUAAAACAAUGCACUUAUUUGAACAAUACACAAAUCUAUGCAAGUAUUGUACAUCCAACAUUUAAAAUGAAUGGCUGGAAUUUUCUGCUAGAAAAGCAAAUCUUAAGCAGAACUUACCCCCUACCCAGACCCACCAUCCCAUAACUAGCAACACCAUCUACUGGGUUUAAAAAAAGGUGGAUCCAAUAGGCACUGGGAGCUGCAAGAUGCAAAGGAUGCAGCAAAUCUACAAAUUAUGGCACUGGAACACCUUACCAGUAAGUCAGCUACCCAGAACAUUUGGAGUGACUAGAAAAUAGUAUUUUUCAGAGACUGGUGGAAACAGGAAAGACUUCUUAGCACACAGCAAAAUGUUGAGGAGCAUGCUAGAAUCCCAGACGUUCCUCAGUGAGUUUGCCAUAAUAAUUAUCAAUCAGCAGUAAGAAAAAUAAGUUAGCUUGCAGAAGAGAUUUUUCUAUGACAUAAGCUUUAGAAAGAUUCAAUACACUCAGGAGAUAAAUACAAUUGAUAUAAAGUAGCUGUUUAAAUGCAGAUUAUCUAAUUUUAAAUAUUAUGUUUAUGUCAAAAAAAUGAAAGAGUAAAACAAAAGCAUUUGGAAUUAAAAAGUGGAAAUUUUUCUAGGGCCUUAUUCUCUCCUUUAUGGCAUUUUGUGUACUCAUUCAUUUCUCUGCAAACCAGAAGUAAAACUAAGAUUCUCUACUCAGUAUUUCGGACAGUCAUUUGCACUAGUUUUCUGUUAUCUAAAAGACAUUAGUGGCAUGACAAGGUGAGAGCUGAUUUCUAUUUGCAAGUUACACAUGUAACUUUGUGUGUGCAUUUAUGUGUGUUUUUGAGACAAUCAGAAUUUUGCUCAAGAUUCAACUGAUUGUAUAUUCUUUUGUCUGAAAGAUAAACUCUUUCAGCUCUCAGUUUAAAAAGUAAAAACUAAGACUGCUUAGUUAUUUUGCAGUAAGAAACCCAAUAUUUAAACAGAGUAAUCAUCAGUAAUCAUUAGUCACAGAAGAUGUUAAUUAUUAAAGAUGAUUAGGGCCUGAGGAAGUUCAACAUUAAACUGAUGUUCACAGUGAAUUAUUUCUUUUUGCAAUAAUGUUUUUCAAACAUCUGGAUUCUUACAGAAAUCCUGCAGCACUAAGUAUGAUAAUUUUGUAAUAACAUACAAGGAGUAGAUAGGCACUAUAGAGAGUAGAAUUAAAGCUAAAGCUUUGAAAAUAAUUUAUUUACACAACUACCUUAUUGUUACUCAUGUAAGGUGGUUCACAGGUAAAGCUGAUACUGUAAAGGAAAAUUUGUGAUUUAUAGAUAAAAAGAAAGUUCAGAACUUGUGCAGCUCAGUGGCUCUGAAGGAGCCCAUUGACAGAUUAAGGUCCUUAAACCAUCAUAAUCAGAUACAACUCUCGUGUCUCAUAACUCUCUUAACAGCAGGUGGAAAGGCUGCAUAUCUGCAAAUACCUUAUAACCAUUAACUGCUGGUCAGAUUGAAUAAGGCCAGCCUUCUACACACUGUACUCUUUUCAUACUAGCUCUAUUCACAGCUUAGGUCCAUAACAUUUUAUGUUAAUUCCUCAGAACAAAAAUUGGUGGAAGAAAACUACCAUGGUUCCCUGCUAAGCAUGUGCAAUUAAACUGCCGUCUAUUUGUUAAAUUUUAACAUGCAGAGCUAUGCACUGCAACAACUGCAAAGCCAACAUUCCUUUGGUUCUGCUGCCUUGUUAUGGGACAGGCACUGCCAGCUGAGCAGUAGAGCAGACAGAUGCAGUAAACUCUUUCAGUGACUUCUCAGGAAAUUCAUCUACAAGGUCCCUACAGCCAUGGCCAAACACUUCAGAAACAGAUGUGAUAGUUUUAAGGUGGUUGGUUUUUUGGGGGGUUUUGGGUUUUUUUUUGUUUUGUUUUUGUUUUUUGUUUUUUGUUUUUACCAUUGCCAAGUCCCAGCAAGUAAAACAGACUUCUUAAGCCGGCUGGGUUAGGCUGAACCACCUUCGAUGACAGUUAAAGAUGACUGAAUUUGCUACGCCACCAGGUCUGUGUUGGAAGGUACCUGCAGUUUGAUCACAUUAAGGCCUCUAAGGGGAUGGAGCACACCCAACAGCUGCAGAGCUGUUGGCAGAGAGGGGCUAUGGAAGAAAGCAGGCAAUGGAAUUAUCAAAGAUUUUUCUGCUACAAUCUAGCAAGCAGAGAUCCUAUCAGGAGUUAAAUCUGGAAGUGUUAAAACUUGGUUAGAUAUGUAGAUUUUCACACAAAUAACAAAAAGCACCUGCUCAACAGGCAGGCCACUUUGCUGCCAACAUCAAAAUCUCUUCCAAGCCUUUGGGUCAUUCCACCAUUUCAAAGGAAAAUGUUGCCAGACCUUUGUUUUUUAAUGUGGACAAUAUAGCACAUUGUCCCCCUGCCUAAUUUUUCAAAAACGUUUAUCACAUUUAUACGCUGUAAACACAAAACAUUUCUGGUGUAAGUUCUCUUCUUUGUAAUAGCUAAUGUAUUAGUAAUGUAAAUCAUUCUACAAAGAGUGGGUCAAAGUUUGUUUUCCAAGUUUCAUGGUUUCUUUUUAAACAAAUGUAUCUUCAAAACUUAACUAAAUGAUCCUGCAGAAAUGGUAAAGGCAUUCAUCGCUGCCUGUUAUUACUUGAUUUUCAUGGCAUAAAUAGCUAUUUUUGUAAAGGAUUGCUAUGGUAUUCAGAAUUAGUCAAACUAAGUCCCAGACUCUAUCGCACCUGGAUAUUGAGUGAAGCAACAUAAUUUACAGCAAGCAAUACUUAUUUACAAUAUUGAAAUGGUGGGACUUUAGAAAGUGCCAACACAUUAAUCCUGCACAAUCUGAGGCUUAAAAUUUCUCUUUCCGUUAAUUAUAUUCUUCAUAUGCAAGAAAUAUACUUAAUGUUAUGGGAUUACAAGCAGAAAUACCACAACACACGCUGGUGUAAAAUUAGAACACUUUUAGAAUUUCCUCUUAGUAAGUUUUUAAAUGCCAGACUAUACAUCACUUAGCACUCUUCAGUCUUCGAAACCUAGUAAAUCAUUUGAUAUCCAAAAAGUUUUUAACUACCUGAGCUUUAACUGAUGAGUUCAUAUGUACACCAGUCAGAGAUGCAAGUAAAGAAUUUGAUUGGAAAUUAGCGAGCAUGACACUGAAAGUGUGGUUUGUUGUUGGGGCAAAGUCAAUACGUUGACUAGCUGCUGUCAUAGCAGGUUUCCCUUGCCUCUGGCCACAUGUUCUCACCUCCUGCCUUGUGAACCAGCAUCAGUGCUUCUCUGAUCCUCUGCAGUAAAUUCAGGGAGUAAGUUCAGGGAGUGAACCAACCCAGAGAUUAUCCUUACAUAAAAGGGAAAUCAUCUUCUGUCAGAUUAGUUCCCUGAACUAUCCCUAGAGAGAGGCAGGAAGCUGAAGAUCAAGAGGAGAGUUCUCAUCAGGAGUAGCUCUCAGACUGGCUUAGCCAGAUAAGCAAACUGCACACUGAGAGUACCACGAAACCAAGUAGAAGUGAUGUAGCUUUAAUGCUUUUACAAAAAGUUUACUGUAUGCAUGACAAAAAAUAUGGAUGAUGCUAUUAUUCGCUUUAAACUGUAGCAGAAAAAGAGAGAGAGAUUUUGGGUUGAGGGGUGACCAAAGCCAAAACUACGCUUCCAAGCCUUUAGUCUUCUCUGUGGUUGGAUUAUUAAUAUAUCUAUAAAGUAUUAUCCAAUAAGACUCAGUCAUUACCAUGAGUGAUGAAAAGGCAGCAAACACAGCACAUAGAAAUAAAUUAUUCUUGAUGUAUCAUGAAAUAAUUUACAAGGCUUGCUGCAGCUGUGAUGUGCUAAAUAUGAUCUUUUUUUUUAACUACCAAAAGAAUACUUUAGAAUCAUAGAAUUUAAUUUGAAAAGGACCACCACAAGAUCCUAAUCCAGCCUCCAGCUCAACGUUUGACUAACUUCUAAGUUAUAGCAGGUUGCUCUGGGAGCUCUCUGGUAAGAUUUAAAUUCCACCCACCCCAGCCUUCUCCUCAGGCUGAAUCAACCCUGUUCCCCUAGUGUCUCCUUGUACACCUUGUUCCAGCCCCCAAAUCACCUUGGUGGUCCUCUGUUGGUCUCUCUCUAGUUUGUUGGUAUCUCUAGGGGACCGAAAACUGGACACAGUAUUCCAGAUGCUGCCUCACAAGUGCUGGUAAGAGGGGAAUAAUUACUUAUCCAGUUGGCAAAACUCUUGCUAAUGGAGUCCAGUAUGUAGUUAGUGCUCAUUGCUGCAAGGGCACAAUGCUGACGGUUCAACUUGUUUUCUACUGGGAUGCCCAGUCCUUUUCUGCAGAGCUGAUGCCUAGCCAGUCAGUCUGACUCUUCCAUUGCUUAAGAUUAUUCCACCUAGGUGGAAGACUGCAUUUGUCUUUGUUGGAUUUCAUUAUGUUCCUGUCAGCCCAUUCCUUCAGCUUAUCAAGGUUCAUGUGAAUGCCAGGCCUGCCCUUCUAUGCAUUCACUCCCCCUCAUGUUGACCUCAUUUGAACUUGAUGAUGCUUCAUUCCACCUCACUGUUCAGAUUGCUGCAGAGGUUAAAAAGAAGCAGCCCUUACACUGAUCACUGAGAACUGCUACUUAAAACUGGCUGCCAGUUAGAUUUUGAAGCAUUGACCAUUUUCCUUUUGAGCCUGAUGGUCUAGCCAGCCUUGUAGCGUACCCAUCCAGCCCUUAUCUCCCCAUUUGGGCUAUCAAGAUGCUAGGGGAGAAAAUGUUGACAGCCUUGCUGAAGAAGGCUCUCUCUUCAUUUUGCACUCUCCUCCUCCACAGAACCUGACAUAUCACCACAGAAGCCAACCAGGUUGCCAGGCACAAUUUGCCUGAGCAACUUUGUCUUCCAAGAACCAUGUAAAGUCCCUCAUAAAACUAAGCUUUGUAUUAUGCUGAUUAUUUUAAUAUCAUGCAGUACACUAAAUAACAUCUAGAAAAUGAAUGAGACUUACUUACAUGUUUGUUAAGGAAAAUGUUAUGACUAUACCUUCACAGCCUUCUUAUCAGUUUGUCUUAUGAUCAAUACUGAAUUGUUUAUAAGAAAUAGGGGGAAAAAUUACGGAACUGGCUUUUGUUGCAUCAGUGUUUCCUUGUUCCUGAUUCAUAUAUAGUGCGAGGUUCUGCUCAGAGAAGUACUGACUGCAUCUUUUUAUUUUUAGAUUUGUAUAAAGCAGCUGCCUUUGUAACUAACCCCUUCUAUACUAUGUGGUGUGUCAAUUCUCAUUUUUCAUGUUGUAGUUCACUCUGAUACCUGUUUACACACUCCAUAUAUAAGAACCACUCAGGUGAACAGCACCGUGUGAAAUGUAGACUGCCACCAGUACAGCUCAUAAGAAAAACUGUUAAGAAAAUACACUUGAAACUAAGCACAUAUCACCAUGUGGGAGAUCUAUCUGUGUAUAAAAUAUGAAUCCCAUUGCGGUUAUGAAAUUGCUGUAUCAUUAAAUACCUCAGAGGAUGUGAAGUCAACCAUAUGCUGUCAGGGCUGAGUCAUGUGUGUCUCAGCCAUGGGACUGUGGAAGACAUCCCACCCUAGCGGCUCCUACUCAAGAGGGAAAAUAUUAGGACAAGGGAGUGCCUGAGCCAGACAGCAAUCAGUUCAUCCAAACUCUUCCAGUAAGACCAGAGUUUGGCGUUGUGGAAUUUCCCCAAAAGCUGAAAGGAAGAUCACGUGUUAUGACCAAACCCCCAAAACUACAGAAACUCACAGCUUUGGGAACUGCAGUGAAUCACAGAUUGACAGAAAACUUAUGCAGGGAAGAGGAACAGAGAGGCAUGCUUUCCUUACUGUAGGCCUGCCAAGUGAGAAGGAAAUUGGCUUCAGAAUACAGAAACAGAUAUGCAUGCAAUAUAAUUUAGAAAAGUUACGUACAGAAAUGGAUGACACAGAGGGCAAGGACUAAACCCAAAAUGAUGUUCGAAACUGAGGAAAGGAAGUACACACUGCAUGUUUAGUGCUUUCUCAUCUGUAUGGUAUUUUGUGCCAGCUAAUGUAAAGAGUCAUUGAUUUUACGGAAUUUUUACCACAUCUGCGCUUGUCUGCUUCAGAUAUCAUCUAAGAGGUGAAUUGUAAACAAUGAGUGAGGAAAACAGGAGCUAAAGAAAAAGACAGGCUUAGUACUUCAGGGAACCUAGGUACACAGUUGUUAGUACUCAUCCUGGGGGGGUCUUACGGAAGUAGCCAAAGUCUUGUGUUUGCCAAGGGGUAGAAGUCAAAAAAUCCUGGCUAGAAAAUAAACCAGAGGCAAAUCUUCUGCCUCCAACUUGGACCAAGUAAAGUGUAAAGGUAUAUGGGCUCAGUGAGAUAAAAGUGAAACAAAGCAAUCCAGUCGGCUUCCAGCUGAUGGAACAUUAACAGGCCUGUGACACACCUGUGUUUCUUCUUGGUAUCUCAAUUUGAAAAUCACAGGUCCUUUGUCCAAUUUUUACGUUUAAUAAAAACCAACCUAGUUUUGGCGAUUUUAGCAAAAGCUCUAUGCAAUUAUACUUACAAAAUGGCUCCUCAUUGCUUUAGUGUAUCAUUCAUUAGUCAAAUAAAUUUGCCAAAAUUUGAGUUAUUAUUCAUGUCUUUAUCUGGAAACACCAGAGGGAAAUUUCCUGCCUGAGAUAGCUGCCCGUUCUUGAUGAAAAUGCAUAUUCUUCAGCACAUUGUAAAAUUACACAUUAGCUACUAAACUGCAAUUUCAAACAAAUUGUAGAUAUACAGAGAAUGAGUCUCCAGAAGAUAUGGACAGCAUUCACACCUGUUUUCCUAACAUCAUAGGUAACUAAUUCUGUCCUUGACUUCCUUACUCAUCAGUAUUAUUUGACUCUUACUUUUCAGAAGAGUCAUAUGCAUUUUUAAUAUUUUCAGCCCCUCCUCAUUAUUAUGUGUUCUUAAGACAGAAGUAUCAGGGUGCAUUGUCUUAUACUGCCUUCUGAUUUUCUGGGCAGAGAAUCACAAGCAGAAACUUUGGAAAUCACACAUUAGCACAAUGUUCAAGCUAAACUGUGUCCAAAUAGCUUUGACUGCCAUGCACUUCAAAGCACUGGCAAGCCAUCCUGCAGUAUUCUUCCAAGCUUUGAUUGAUUUCCACUGUGGUGAAUCAUGACCAUAAAAGAAGCUGCAUGACUACUUUUUUUUCCCCUCCAUGCAGGAAACAAUAAAACAUUAAUAAAAAAUAAGGUCAGAAGAGAACUAUAGAACUGUUCUUCAGUGAGAUCUAAGUGGCCAGUUUUUUCCACCUGGGACAUAUAGUCAAAACAUUUGUUAAUACAGAAGCAUAAUUUGCCCACUGUGACUCACAUGCUAAAAUUCUAGAUACAGAUUUAACCCACUCCUAACUCUUUGCCAAAUGACUAGGCAUGAAUCUCUUCAGUUUGGUGCAACUCAUUCCAGAGCAUUCAAUUUUCUCUAUGAAAUCUACAGUGGACUUAUUACUUGGAACAAAUUUUAAGGUAUGUCAAAAUCCUUGUCUCUUACCUCAUAGAAAAUUCAACAUUUUAUAAGAAUAGACAUCAAAGUUAAUGAAGGAAUUAUUAAUGUAUAUAAUCAGUUUGCCUCAUCACAACUUCUAAUACAGAGGUUAUGAAAUAUUUGUCUUUCUUUUAAAAGGUAUUUCAAGGACUGUCAGUGGAUUCACAGUAAAAGAGAAGAUCUGAAUGUCCUCAAACAAAAUAUACAUCUUUGGAUCCAAAUUUUAGAAAACAAACCAGUCUUUAAAUUGUAUGAAAAAGACACAUCUGUUUGCCAAAUCUUUGUAAAAUAUUUUUUCUCUACAAGUAUCUCCUUUACAGCAUUUUACUUAUUUGCUUACAGAUUUAAACAUGUUUUUGAUCCCAACCGUAUAAAAAAAAAAAAUGUGCUUCUCACAGUGUAAGAGAUGCUCUAUCAAAUCCCAACAUCAAGUCUCUUUCUUUCAGGGAAAAAAAGAGUUAAGAUAUAUGUAAACCACAUACUCAUAUAGUUACAGUAAAAUAGUCUAGACCCACUUACAGUACUCGGAAUAGUACAGGAUGCAUUUUAAAUUUUCUUUUCUUUUCUUUAAUAAGAUUAUUUGAGUAUAAAUCUGAAUCUCAAGAGAAAAUAGUACAGGAUGCAUUUUAAUUUUUUUUCUUUUCUUUAAUAAGAUUAUUUGAGUAUAAAUCUGAAUCUCAAGGGAGAAGAAGGAAGAAAAGCAAAGUUGAGUAAAAUAUGAAGUGCAGAUAUCCUUUGGAACUGUAUGUGUUCAUUUAGGAAAAAAAGGGCACCUCAGGAUGGCAAACUCAACAUCUGAGAUGAAAAUCUUUCACUGAAUUAUCAUUUUUGUUUACCAAAAGGCUGCAGCAAAUACUGUGUACUAGCUUUUAGGAAAAAUAUGUCUUAAAGAUCAGAUAGUCAAAGACAGGCAUGAAAAUAUCAGGAAGUUCAAGAUUUUGUGAAGCUUUAGAUUUCACCUUCUUUGUCCAGUCUAUUCCAUAAAAUUAAAAAAAUUGGGAUUUUUUGGAAAAUGUAAUUAGAGAUUGUACCACAGUGCACAUUCAUAGGGCUCCCUCCCUCUUCUUACUUGCUUUAAAAACCCCGAGAAGUCUUGCAUUUCAGCUUUAAAACUUACCUAACUGUAGUUUUUUGGGCUAAGUAAUCAGCUGAUGUUCAGGAUUUUCGGCAACUGUUUCUACUGGGGGAAUAAGUGAUGACAGAAAAAAUAAAUCCCAGAACUCCUACUUAUCUACCAUAAAUGUACACUAAAUAACAGUAAUAAUAAAACACAAUGAAAAUGA